rnacentral:piRNA from 1 species
UGCUUGUACCUCGAUGUCCCUUCAGAUGUA